GAUCAGCUGGUCACCUGACCGAUAGGAACGGUCAUUCAACGGCCUUGUAGGUCAUUGGCCCUUGGUGGGGCCAUGUGGGGGGACAUGUGGCUCCAUCAUCAUACGUCUUCGGUCGAAAUCAGAAUCACAUGGGGGUCUAAUCGAUUCGAGAUUGUAUUCCAUACAAUUAUCGAUAAGUGCCUUGACGCGGAGAUAAACAAGUUUUAUCUGAAAACUGAGGCAAGCGGUCGCAUUUGUCUCGGAUAAAUGAUUUGCUAAGGUGAAAGAGCAUCGCUUAAUGACAAAAAUGAAAUUAAUCCUUUCGAAGGGUUGACAAAAAUGCGAAACAAUUGCUACCGGCCGGCGUGUCAAAUUUAGACAAGUACAGCAGCUUUGCAGCCACGACGAGUGUUUUUGAACAAUACUCCUAGAAAGGCGUCGACGAUUCGCCCUGUCAAUUCUUGUGCGCCAGCAAAGGCUGAAGACGACGCGAGACUCCCUUUACGCAUAGGUAGGAGACUACAAAGUGCGCGCAUCAGGCCAGAUGUCGGUCGAGCGGCCGUCUUUAUGCCUGUCAAGUUGUACGUGGACGUCGACGAGAGCGACGGCCGGCGAAAAAGAGCAUCGCGAUACACUAGCGGAAGGAUGAUGGAUAUAUGAAAAGUGUGAGAAAAAUGAAAAAUGAUAAGAAGACGCCAUUUUUUCGCAGAGCUUUUCUCCGUCGCAAAGGCAAGAAAGAACGGAGAGGGAUUCGGAACGUCGUGUGAACCGGAUCUCGCAUCGCCACCAGCUGUCAAGCCGACAUGUCGUCUACUCCCGUCUUGUAUUCAGCCCUAAUGUCUUUCCGCGAGACACAACGAGCAACAAAAGCAGUACUUGAAAUCAUCAACGGCAAGUUUUGAUACAAUUUGUAUCAGCGCUCACCCUGCCGAAAAUAUCUCUGAAUUCAAUUGCAAAUAAUUUAAAAAAUUAAAAUUACAUAUUUUUCUAAUUUUCAAAAUUAGACAUUUGUUUAAAUAUUGUUUUAAUUUGGACAAAUUAAUUAUUUAUUAUAGCAGUAAUAUUUUUUUGAUUCAAUUCCUUAUGUUUGCUACAAGCAAAGAUUAACAGCAAUUUUGACAAGAGCUGAAAAGACUGCUCAAGUGGAGGGAAAGAAAUUAAGUCGAGAUCUUGAAGGGAAAAAAACGUAGUAGCUGAGUUGCGUACAUUUAUGAGACAUCUCUUUUAUGAUACUAGUAGAUAGUAUCCAUUAGAGAAGUCCGUUGCGCGUCACCGAUGUGUCGCAAAAAAUGUUUAUAAAAAAGUUAUUCCAUUUAUAUAUAUACGCGUAUGACAAGCUAUGCGAUAAUAUUUGUU